rnacentral:rRNA from 1 species
UAUGUGAUCGUCUCUCGCAUAUCAAUAAGCGGAGGAAAAGAAACUAACAAGGAUUCCCUUAGUAACGGCGAGUGAAGCGGGAAGAGCUCAAAUUUGAAAUCUUCAAGGUUUUACCUUGACGAAUUGUAGUUUAAAGAAGUGUUUUCUGUUGAAGUUUUGGUAAAAGUUCUUUGGAAUAGGACAUCAUAGAGGGUGAGAAUCCCGUAUUUGACCAUUAUUUUCAGCUGUGUGAUACACUUUCAAAGAGUCGGAUUGUUUGGGAAUGCAGUCCAAAAUGGGUGGUAAAUUUCAUCUAAAGCUAAAUAUUGGCGAGAGACCGAUAGCGAACAAGUACCGUGAGGGAAAGAUGAAAAGAACUUUGAAAAGAGAGUUAAACAGUACGUGAAAUUGUCAAAAGGGAAGCGUUUGACACCAGUGUUGUUUUCUCGAAAAUCAAUUAAAAAGAGUUAGAUUUUGUUGUGUAUUGACCUUAACAGCUUGCAUUUCAAUUUUCUUGCUUUUUUUUAAUGCACUUUUCGUUUAACAAGUCAACAUCAGUUUCUUUUGUUGUAAAAAGGUCAUUGGAAGGUGGCUUUCUUUUCGGAGAAAGUGUUUAUAGCCUUUGACUCCUGCAAUCGGAGAGACUGAGGUCUGCAGCGUAGAUCCUUCGGGGUUAGAUACAUUUGUGCUAAGUUAUAGCUUUUUAUAGACAACUUGUUGACUAUGAUUAGUCUUGUAGCUUACUCGCUUAUGCUAUUUUACCUACGCUUAGGAUGUUGAAGAUGUAGCACAUCAU